rnacentral:rRNA from 1 species
GACGAACCGAGCGAACGUUGUUCGGAAUAACUGGGCUUAAAGGGCGCGUAGGCGGGCCGCCAAGUUCGAGGUGGAAUCCUCCGGCUCAACCGGAGAACUGCCUCGAAUACUGGAGGCCUCGAGGCGGGUAGGGGCACGCGGAACUGUGGGUGGAGCGGUGAAAUGCGUUGAUAUCCACAGGAACUCCGGUGGCGAAGGCGGCGUGCUGGACCCGAUCUGACGCUGAGGCGCGAAAGCCAGGGGAGCAAACAGG